GACAUAGGUGGCGAACGUUAUCCGGAAUUAUUGGGCGUAAAGCGUCCGCAGGUGGCCAUGUAAGUCUGCUGUUAAAGAGCAAGGCUCAACCUUGUAAAGGCAGUGGAAACUACACGGCUAGAGUGCGUUCGGGGCAGAGGGAAUUCCUGGUGUAGCGGUGAAAUGCGUAGAGAUGUGGAGGAACACCGAUGGCGAAGGCAGCCCCCUGGGUCAACACUGACGCUCAUGCACGAAAGCGUGGGGAGCAAACAGG
rnacentral:rRNA from 1 species